CUGGUUUGGUGAAGGGACUUCCUUGUUUGUCUGUGAUUAUAGUACUAAUACUAGUCGGCAAGAUGCACUGCACUUUCUGACUACUGUCACUUGCCAGGCAAUGACUUCAAAGCACCCAAAAUAAGUGGGACAGGGACAGAGCAUGGUUCUUAUUUUAUUAACAUGCAUUCAGUGAAGGAGAAAUGUUGAACCUCUACAAUCAUUACAAAUUUCAUCAUUUUUUCUCCUGUUGUUUUGGAUUGGGAUGUGGACUGGUCAGCUUCAGGCCAUACCAAAGUGAGUAACCUGCCUAUCAGACGUUACUGAUGACAAAUUAAGUCAAACUGAAAGUGUUUACUGAUGCCAACUUUCCUGACUGUGUUUUUCACAGUUGUGUUUGAGAUAGCUGGCAUAUCCUUUGGUGAGAUGGUUUAUGUUCUAACUCAUCCAACAACAUGCACAUAGCACAUAGGCAAUGAGGCAUAUCUUGGUGUGGAAUCAGUUCAAAGACAAAAUGGCCUUUACCUGCAGAAUCAAACAAUGCAGCUGUUUCUCAAGUGUACUCUCCUCAUGGGAACUAGCACAAGGUCGUACAGUACAUGUUUCACUUAAAUGAUUAACUUGCAGUCAAAUGUUAAGAAAAAGCUCUUGCUGUGUUUCACAGGGCUACCUCCUCACACAAGGAAAUGCAAGGGUCCACCAUACAAACGGAAGGAUGUGUACUGGGGACUUGGCGCUGCUCUGCCUGUGGCUCUAUUCAACCUUGACACUCGUCACAUCUAUAGUCUCUCAUUUGGCUGUGGCCUGAUUGUCUUUUCUAUCCGUGGAGAAGUGCGAAAAUACAAAUCCCUGUGGAAGAAGCACCGCAGGAGAUAUUAUUGGGUGUACUCCUAAUAGACUACGUCUCGCUUACGAGACGCUUGUGUUUAUGAGAAAUAACGGGAGAGAUCACCAGCACUGAUGGGUUCUUCUCAUCCUCACCGAUCUGCGUAUGCGCAUCAUGACGACAGAGGUGGGCUGGCCACUUCCACGCCCUGUCAAGCUGGUCUGGACCUGAGGGUGACUGCAAUAUUUAUCAAGUUAGAUGGGACUAAUUCUACAACUGCAUCUUUUAAAAGUGAUACGAUUGUAUGGUUUUGAGAAUGAGAAUAGUAUUGAAAACUGACAAUCCACUGACAAUUAGAGAUUAAAGUAAAGAGAGUCAAAGAAAUCUUGUUUGACAGGGUAUUGUUCAUAAUAAUAUUGAAAUACAAUUUUGAUAAGUUGCUCUUCGUUUAGAAUUCUUUGUUUGCUUUAUCUAAGUUAUGACAACUAAUAAUUACAAAUUGAUAGUUUUUUCACAAGCAUUAAAAGAUUAA